rnacentral:rRNA from 1 species
GGAAUUGCUAGUAAUGGCAGGUCAGCAUACUGCCGUGAAUACGUUCCCGGGCCUUGUACACACCGCCCGUCACACCAUGAGAGUUGGGAAUACCCGAAGCCUGUGAGCUAACUUAUAGAGGCAGCAGUCGAAGGUAGAAUCAAUGAUUGGGGUGAAGUCGUAACAAGGUAGC